rnacentral:lncRNA from 1 species
ACAAACUGUUCUAUCUUACCAGACAUUCUUAUAAAUACAUACGACAACGAUUGAAUGAUUAUAAAUGAAAUAUCCUAUAAUAAUCUAAAUAUCCUCUUGUAUUUUCUCCUUAUUUUCUCUCUGCAUUAUCUUCCUAAUUUUUUCUUCCCUCUCUCUCUCUCUCCCCCCCUUACAACAUGUUGCAAUGAACCAUACACCAUCGAGGAAGGCUAAUUAGAUGAGCACUGUCAACUGCUCAAUAUGGCCCAUAAGAGAGUCUGGUAGUACUGGACUUUCCUCAAUCCAAUUCUGAACCUUGAGGACAAUAUUUGUGUGAAGAAAGGACAGAUUUCAAAACCUAAAAAGAAGUGAAAGACGGAACAAAACGCUCAGCGGUUAGAAACAGUUAGGAGGAAUAGAAGUAGCCCUUUUGGUAGGAUUUUUUCUUUUUAAUGAUGUAAUAGCCGUUAUACUAGUGCAUUACAAUGACAAACUAAGAUAAAAGUUGUUACUGCACCCAAUGAACUGCACUGCUGUACCACAUAUUCCUAUAAAUACCUAAAGCAAUGAUUGAAUCAUUAUGAAUGAAAUCUUCUUACCCCAACUGCUUGGAAUUGACGCUAUAAGUUGAAACGUGGCAAUAACUGAAAAAUACUACCCACCAAAUUCCACCCAAAAUAGCCCCUAUUAAAUCUUAGUUGAACUUGCAAAGAAUAAAUUCAUAUAUUAUUCUGUGACUAAAAUAGAUAUGAAUAGGAAAAGAAAGUCAAUGGUAUUUGGUUUAGUUGUUGUAAAGAAAAAAUAUAUGAAAAUUUAUAAAUUGUAACCAGUUAGUUAUUUGACCAGCUAAUCAUCUAUCAAAGAUAUAAUAUUUGGAUGCAAUACCAGCACAGUAUCCAAACUACCUAUACACAACAGUGCCACAUUCAGAUCCUACCAUUAUAGAACUCUGAACAAAAUGAAAGAAAACGAGAAAAAGAUGACAAAAACCCUAAAAUUGAUUCCUAGUAUAGAAAAUAAUCAACAGAAGGGGAAAACAUAACUGCAAUUAGCAUAAAAUUCAUAGAUUCCUUCCUCUCGAAUGCUCUCAGGUCACUCUCCUUCCAAGCACUCACAUAACGAGAUUUUUUUUUUGGACACGCAGGAUAGUAUUAUUGAUGAUAUAAAAGCUAUACAUCACAGUCCCUCAAAAAAAAGUUGCCCGAUCAAAUUCUGCCAGAAGAGAAACCCCAUCAAAGAUUUAAGUCAAAACCACACAUAAGGCAUUCAAAUAUAUACUAGCAUACUCAGUGCACGCAUGUGCAAAUUUUGAAACAGUUAUUCGUAAAUGUGCAACAUCUAUACCAGAUACGAACAGAAAAAAGAAAGCCAAGAAACCUUAAUUAAAAUGAUAUAUAUUACGGGGAAAAAAAAAAAGAUAUGCAAAAUGCCUAAACGAUAACCUUUCACUUAAUUGACCAGCCAAGCAUAAAUCAAUGACCUAAAAUUCGGAUACAAUACCAGCAAAGCAUCUGCGACGUCGAUUCAAGACAAUGUCACAUGUCUUGCCAGAUUAAAAUGCUGAAUUAAAUGAAAAAAGCAAAGCAAGCAACAAAAGAAAUAUGAAAACCCUAAAAAACCGAUUCCUGCUGCAGAAAAACGAUCAAGAAAAAAGGAAACGAAAACAAAAGAACAUCAAUGCAUCAUUCAAAGACGUAAUCAGAACAACUUGAAAUCGAAAAUCGACGACACUCAAGCCCUAAUAGCAGAGUCGCGAUAAAGAAGAGAUUACCUACGGAGAAAAAGUGCUCCGAUUCGGAGCUGUAGGUAGAUGGAGAGUGCCUUUGUUCGACGAGGAAUCGGCGAGGCCUUGAAUCGAGCAGGGAUUUAUAGCGGUGAAGUAAGGGGGCGAAGACAGAGACGAAAUGCGAGUCCGCUUACAAAGGAGCGGAUUUUCUGAACAGAGAGUAGAUUCUGUUGAACAUAAUGAGCAGGCUUUAUUUAUAUAUGCUCUCCGUGGUAACAGUUCCUGUGUGUUGCAUUUAGUUUAUGCUAAAACGGGGUGCC